GACGAACGCUGGCGGCGUGCCUAAUACAUGCAAGUAGAACGCACAGUUUAUACCGUAGCUUGCUACACCAUAAACUGUGAGUUGCGAACGGGUGAGUAACGCGUAGGUAACCUGCCUGGUAGCGGGUGAUAACUAUUGGAAACGAUAGCUAAUACCGCAUAAUAUUGAUUAUUGCAUGAUAAUUGAUUGAAAGAUGCUAUUGCAUCACUACCAGAUGGACCUGCGUUGUAUUAGCUAGUAGGUGAGGUAACGGCUCACCUAGGCGACGAUACAUAGCCGACCUGAGAGGGUGAUCGGCCACACUGGGACUGAGACACGGCCCAGACUCCUACGGGAGGCAGCAGUAGGGAAUCUUCGGCAAUGGACGAAAGUCUGACCGAGCAACGCCGCGUGAGUGAAGAAGGUUUUCGGAUCGGAAAGCUCUGUUGUAAGAGAAGAACGGGUGUGAGAGUGGAAAGUUCACACUGUGACGGUAUCUUACCAGAAAGGGACGGCUAACUACGUG
rnacentral:rRNA from 1 species